rnacentral:lncRNA from 1 species
CUAACAAAAAAAUUUUCUUCGUAGGAUAAAGUCAGGAAAUCUUCGAAUUCAAAGUAGCAAAGUUAGCUGAGGCAAAGCCUGAUGAAGCUAGGAAAGCCCAACGAGCUUAUAUUAGAAGAGCCCUUAUGGAAGAUGAGUGGUAAGUCCUAUUAACAAAUUGCUCAUGAUCAUAUAGUUUAUUUGAUCUUCCUUCUCCACUAAGGUUUCUUCUUUACCAGAGCUUUCCUAAACACC